rnacentral:rRNA from 1 species
UACGUAGGGGGCAAGCGUUGUCCGGAAUUAUUGGGCGUAAAGCGCGUGUAGGCGGCCAGAAAAGUCCGCUGUGAAAGCUCGAGGCUCAACUUCGAGCUGUCGGUGGAAACUUUCUGGCUAGAGUCCGGAAGAGGAGAAUGGAAUUCCUGGUGUAGCGGUGAAAUGCGCAGAUAUCAGGAAGAACACCCGUGGCGAAGGCGGUUCUCUGGGACGGUACUGACGCUGAGACGCGAAAGCGUGGGGAGCGAACAGG